AAUAAACGCUGGCGACGUGCCUAACACAUGCAAGUCGAGCGAGGAUAGCCUUUCGGGGUGACUCCUAGCGGCGGACGGGUGAGUAAAGCGUGAGAAUCUGCCCCUUAGUAAAGAAUACUCCCGAGAAAUCGGGCUUAAUGCUGUAUAGUUCCCUAACGGGAUAAAGAUGGCCUCUUGCUAUCGCUAAGGGAUGAGCUUACGUGCUAUCAGCUAGUUGGUGGGGUAAGAGCCUACCAAGGCUAUGACGGCUAGCCGGCCUGAGAGGGUGUACGGCCAUACUGGAACUGAGACACGGCCCAGACUCCUACGGGAGGCAGCAGUGGGGAAUAUUGGACAAUGGGGGGAACCCUGAUCCAGCCAUGCCGCGUGUGUGAAGAAGGCCUUAUGGUUGUAAAGCACUUUAAGCGAGGAGGAGGCUCUUUUGGUUAAUACCCAAGAUGAGUGGACGUUACUCGCAGAAUAAGCACCGGCUAACUCUGUGCCAGCCGCCGCGGUAA
rnacentral:rRNA from 1 species